GACAGCUACAAAAUAGAAGAGGAGGUCUCCCAGGGCAGAGGGGCUUACUGGAGAUGUGUAUAUCACAACUGCCUAUUCACAAGCUCAGUCUGGGAGUGGAGAAAGAACUUAUUUUCUAAGUAGAAGUGGAAAGAGAGGAUUCUCGAUUAAAACCAAUAUUCCCAGGAGGAAGAAACAUUCCAGAGAGAGAAGUCCUUUGCACAUUUCUUCUCUCCCACACCUUUGUGUUUCCAUGAGCUCAUAUUUCAUUUUGAUCAACCCAGAGAAAAGUGCUGUAGGUAAUUUUGAGGGUGGGGUCAAAUCACUGAAUGGCAACUCUGUCCCUUAUCCUUUGCACAGCCGCUGCUUCUGUCAAAGAAUGUCCUCUAAGCUUGGGAGGCAAAGAGUAUAAAGCAAAGCACAGACCACCCCAAGCCCAUGUAAAGUUCAGAGAACAAGCCCAGGUAAAUCACCACCACCACCGUCACAAAGGAUAGGAAUAUUGUUCUCGCUGGCUGGGAGACACUAUUCCAAGUGCUUUCCAUACUUCAGUAUAUAUACUGGCACAGGAAACAUCUCUCAGAGGGUGUCCUACUAAACGAUACUGCUCAGAGCAAAAUGAUCAUCGCACCCACCAAGGAUCUGGUAGUUCCUGUGUGCCAGGCACUGGACUGGGUACCUCAUGUGUAUUAAUUAUUCCAUCUUCAUGAUGACCUUGCAAAUUGUCAAAAAUCACCAUUAAAAAAAAAAAAAAAGAGGUGCAGAGAAAUGAAGUAAAUUGCUCAAGGUCACUUCAAACAAGUGGAGCUAGGACUCCAAUUGAGGUAUGCCGAGGCCAAAGCAUGACCGCCAUAUUGCCUCUCUCGUUUAGGAUUACGGUGAAUAUGGUGCAGGCAAAACAUCCGGGCGGCCCACAGGCUUUACCUCAGCGGGUCUAGCAUGAGCUCACGUCAGGAAACUAUUAUCCACAUAAACAUUGGGGGUUCUUCCUCCUUCCCUCCCAUCCUUAGUCCCAACCCACAUCAAAGUAGGAAAACAGAAAGGGUCCCCUUGGUAAAAUGGGGUGGGAGGAGAGGAAGAGAUGGGGAUGCCGAAGAGAGGGCGAAGGAAAAGAGAACUCUUCGAUCUAUCAGUUAGAAGAGGUGUUCUAUUUCAAUAACGGAAAGUUUGUUUAUCUUGUGGGGGUUUCCCUCUCAGACUGGAUGAAGCAGGGGCAUGGAUCUUCCUUCCCUCCUAGGUCAUUUAGGAUCUAAAGUACUUCAUGGGGACAACCAAUUGACUGAGGACCUGAAUUCAGGGCUGAGGCAAGGAAGUGGAACGCUCCAGGGAAGGUGUUAAACAUGCUCGUGGAUUCAGUGGAAGGAUUCAUAACCUGCGUCCUGAGAUCUGUAGAAGAGCAGCCAACGAGAUCAGGAUCCUGAAGUCUGAAGAGACAAGGACCCAUCAUGGUCACAUGGGCAGUUAGUGGCAGAGCUCCCACAAGGCCAAAGUCCUUGUGACCCUGACUAUGGAGAUGCUUUCCACUCUGUAAAGAAUUAACACUGCUGGACUGAGACAAAGAGAGAAGUGCUGUAGCAGGAGUCAGAGAGGCGGAGCAAUAAACUGACCCAAGGCUCGGGUGUGACCACAUCUAGAAGAAUCAGCAACGUGAUGGGGGGCUGGGACAUCACUGACCCCACCCAGAUGUUACAGAAGGCCUCCUUGUCUGUUGGGCACCCAGAUGAACAUGUCUUAGACCCUGAAGACCAUGGCCUGUGACCCUUCCAAAUGCUUGGCCCAUUUUUGAGAUUCCCCGGGUAUGCCUGUAGUUCUUCCCAUUUUUGACUCCUGUUUCUUUCUCUUUAUACCCCCUCUACCCAGUCCAGAACCACAAAUGAUACAUUCAGAGCAAGGUUUUUUUUUUUUUUUUUUUUUUAAGUUUCAUGACAUUCCUGGAGAUUUGAGGGGUUCUUUCUCCCCUUUUCUUAUUCUUAGUCCCCUUUCCCUCUCAAGAACAAAACAAGAAUCUUUCCUUGUCUGUUCCUUGGGCAGUUUUUCCUUCAUCUCUCAAGCCUUGGGAUCAGCCAACCCCUGGGCCUGGGGCCUCCACC